AGUUACUUUGCAUCGCAUUUGUGUGUACAUUAUUAUUUGUUUGGAUCUAAUCGUACUUGAUAAGGAUUUUGAUCAGAUAAUAUGACGUUACACUAAUCGUGCGUACCUAUACAAUUUAGUAAUUAUUAAUAAAAUAAUAUCGCAUUAACAAAACCCACACCAUUUGUUUGGGAUACUCGCUUUUUGAUGGGUCGAUUACAAAAUACGGGUUCGUAUCUAAAUAUGUUUGUAUUCACCAUUGUUGAAGCCCAAACUCAGAAAAUUACUUUUAUCGCAGUAAAUAUGCGUAACCAUAACUGACUGCAUAACUCUCUCGCACUCAAAUUGUUUUUUAUUUCAUAGUUCAUCCCAACUAAUUGUACUAAUAUAUUUUAAUUAACUUAAAUAACAAGAACCCUAAUUAUACAAUUCAAUUAGGUACCUACCAUAAAAUAAAUAAUAAUUGCCGUUUACCCAAUAAUGUGAAUGAAAUCAUGGGUUUAAAACGAAUAUAAUUUGAUAUUCUUGAAUUUCCUGUGUAUAACAUUAAUCAACAUUAUUUAAAAAAUAAUAAUAUUAACAAAAC